rnacentral:rRNA from 1 species
GCUUAGGCAUAAACCCAGGCAGUAACGCACCCAACUGCCCGCCAGAGUACUACAGGUGAAAAACUUGAAACUCAAAGGACUUGACGGCAUUCCACAUCGCCCUAGAGGAGCCUGUCCUGUAAUCGAUAAUCCACGCUAAACCCCACCUGCCCUCGCACCAAGCCAGCUUAUAUACCGCCGUCCCAAGCCCGCCUUACAACAGCACUAACCACAGCGAGCCAGCCAGUAUAGCACUAAAACGUCAGGUCAAGGUGUAGCUAAUGGACAGGAAGAGAUGGGCUACAUUUCCUGAUAACAGGAAACACCAAACGUGCCAUGAAAUCUGCGCUAAAAGGCGGAUUUAGCAGUAAGCCAAGCAAGACCUGCUAGACUGAACACCGCCCUGGAAUGAGU